CGUCUUGAGUGCCAGCGUUCAGCCCCGGCUUGCUGGCCGGCAACCCUCCUUAUGCAGCGGGGUGCCCCGGGUGGUGACGAGGCCGCGGCAACCCCGCCGACGGCAAGUGCCGACC
rnacentral:ncRNA from 2 species